rnacentral:rRNA from 1 species
UACGGAGGGUGCAAGCGUUAUCCGGAUUUAUUGGGUUUAAAGGGUGCGCAGGCGGGGCUUUAAGUCAGUGGUGAAAUCUCUUCGCUUAACGAAGAAACUGCCAUUGAUACUGAAGUUCUUGAAUCUAGUUGACGUUAGUGGAAUGUGUCAUGUAGCGAUGAAAUGCUUAGAUAUGACACAGAACACCGAUCGCGAAGGCAGCUAACGAAGCUAGUAUUGACGCUCAGGCACGACAGCAUGGGGAGCAAACAGG